rnacentral:lncRNA from 1 species
GUACUAGAUCUAAGAUUUUUUAGAGGUGGUUUCAAAGGCGUUCUUCAUCUGGAAUGAAAAGCUGACGAAGAAGACAGCAACCAGGCUGAUUUAGUCAAGGGCCUUGGAUCGUGUCCAGAAGUCUCCAGAUCUAUUCGUUGCUAGUUCCGCUGCACCCAAGGUCCAUGGGAGGAGCCAGGAUCAUGCUCCAAUAGAUGGAGAAGCUCAUUGUCAGAGAAGCCCGAAAGUUCAGACGGUC